rnacentral:rRNA from 1 species
UACGUAGGGUGCGAGCGUUGUCCGGAAUUAUUGGGCGUAAAGAGCUUGUAGGCGGUUUGUCGCGUCUGCCGUGAAAAUUCGAGGCUCAACCUCGAACUUGCAGUGGGUACGGGGCAGACUAGAGUGUGGUAGGGGAGACUGGAAUUCCUGGUGUAGCGGUGGAAUGCGCAGAUAUCAGGAGGAACACCGAUGGCGAAGGCAGGUCUCUGGGCCAUUACUGACACUGAGGCGCGACAGCGUGGGGAGCAAACAGG